rnacentral:snRNA from 1 species
AAUCAUGAGAGUGAUCUGAUUAUGACAUCUGUCACCCCAUUGAUCGCCAGGGUUGAUUCGGCUGAUCUGGCUGGCUAGGCGGGUGUCCCCUUCCUCCCUCACUGCUCCAUGUGCAUCCCUUUUGAAGCUGCAUGCUUGACUGAAGAUGACCUUCCCUGAUAGAGACACACUACUCAUUGCUUAAAGGUAUACGGUAGCUGCGCUCCCCUGCUAGAACCUCCAAACAAGCUCAAGGUCCAUUUGUAGGAGAAUGUACAGUCAAGCUUCCAAGACUGUGGACACACCCAUAUGAGACACUGUAUGGGGCAGUGUCUGAAGGA